AUUACAUACGGAGUCGUCGCUGCCUGUAUUCUAAUAAUAAUUAUUUUAAUAAUUGUGUUGUUUACUAAAAUAAAUAAAUUAUCACGAGACCGAAUGAAUUCAGAAUUUCCAAAGUUUGAUUCUAGAAAAUUUUUGACUAUUCCUAAAGUUUCACGUAUUAAUUAAUGAAACGAUUGGAACCGUGAACUGGAUUCCGAAUUCUGCUACUCUAAUCCUGCGAUUGUACCUGGGGAGGAAUUGUCCAGACGCGGGUAUUCGAUGUACCGCGCUUUUGAAAAUUCAAAAGCUAAAAAUAAUUUUACUAACAAUUUUUCGAAUUCAUCAAGGGAAUCUCAGUCCAGGUUUUAAGUUAAUAAAUAAAUCUUUAAGUAUU